AAGUGUUACAGCUCUUUUAGAAUUUGUCUAGCAGGUUUUCCAGCUCUUGCCAGAAAACCUAA
ensembl:snRNA U7 U7 small nuclear RNA